AUUUGUCUGGUUAAUUCCGAUAACGAACGAGACCUUAACCUGCUAACUAGUUCUCAAUACUUUGUAUUCUGCAACUUCUUAGAGGGACUAUGUAAAUCAAUUACAUGGAAGUUUGAGGCAAUAACAGGUCAGUGAUGCCCUUAUAUGUCCUGGGCUGCACGCGUGCUACACUGAUGCAUACAACAAGUGCCUAGCCAGACAUGGUAUGGCAAUCUCGAAUAUGCAUCGUGAUGGGGAUAGAUCUUUGCAAUUAUAGAUCUUGAACGAGGAAUUCCUAGUAAGUGCAAGUCAUCAUCUUGCAUUGAUUAUGUCCCUGCCCUUUGUACACACCGCCCGUCGCUCCUACCGAUACCGGGUGAUCCGGUGAACCUUUUGGACUCCGUACGGGGGAAGAUAAGUAAACCAUAUCACCUAGAGGAAGGAGAAGUCGUAACAAGGUUUCCGUAGGUGAACCUGCRGAAGGAUCA
rnacentral:rRNA from 1 species